CACAGAGAUAUACUCGACGAGCAGUGAUAGUCUCUUACCUCUACCUGAGUAACCACUUUACAAGUGACGGAUCCAGCUCUUUACAGAUCAAGCUAUGGUGCCGUGAACGAUGAAGCAUCGAGUGUUUGCCUACAGCAGUUACGUGAAGAAUAACGAGUCUGUCACAGCAGUUCAGCGUUAACAUGAAACCAUUGGUAGCCUUGUUCACCAACAAGUAAAGAAUAUUUAUUCACCAGUGUAUUGUUGAGCACACAUUCUCACUGUUCAAUAUUAAUGUGCAUGUGUGUGUGUGAGAGAGAGAGAGAGAGAGGGAGGGAGUGUGUGUGUGUGUGUGUGAGAGAGAGAGAUAGAGAGAGAGAGAGUGUGU